rnacentral:rRNA from 1 species
UCCGUAGGUGRACCUGSGGGAGGRUUAUUGUUGGAUCCUACCUAANNAGACGACCGUGAACAAGUUACUUAAUUGCGAGUUGUGUGUCGACGUGGGAGACUUUGUCGCCACGCACCCGCAUCCAACCAUAACUUUCGGCGCGGGUUGCGCCAAGGAAUACUAAAAUGGAUUGCUAGCUUCUCCGCGGCUUCCGCGGGGAUGGCAAGGCGUCUUGUCGUUUAACCUUAACGACUCUCGGCAACGGAUAUCUAGGCUCUCGCAUCGAUGAAGAACGUAGCGAAAUGCGAUACUUGGUGUGAAUUGCAGAAUCCCGUGAACCAUCGAGUUUUUGAACGCAAGUUGCGCCCGAAGCCAUUAGGCUGAGGGCACGUCUGCCUGGGCGUCACGCAUCUCGUCGUCAGACCCACAAAUUAUUAGGAUGGGUUGACGGAUGUUGGCCUCCCGUGUCCUCGUGGCGCGGCUGGCCUAAAUGCAAGUACUCGGCGCGAGACGUCACGACAAGUGGUGGUUGAACUCAUCAACUAGUGUGCUGUCGCGAUGAUCCCCGGCACGUACUAUAACGACCCUCGAGCCCUUGACUCUUAACAGAGUAUAGGACCAUCGACCGCGACCCCAGGUCAGGAGGGAUUACCCGCUGAGUUUAAGCAUAUCAAUAAGCGGAA